GCCAAGAUGGCGGAACCGGCAGACGCGUAGGUCUCAAAAACCUAUGGGGGUAACACUCCAUGAGGGUUCGAGUCCCUCUCUUGGCA
rnacentral:tRNA from 1 species